GAGCUUUGAACUUUCUUUGUUUUAGAAAAUUGCAUUGAUAUAGUGUUACUCUCUUGUGAUAUUGUGUUGAUAUGACAUUACUCUCUUAGGAGACAGUAAUUUUCUAAAACAAAGUCAUAUUCUCUCAAGUUUUCCUCCCCUAACUUGGACAAUCCCUACCUAAUCUCCAGGGAUAGACUCCUAUCAUAUUUCCAAACUAUUAAUUAUAGCAGAAACUAGAUGUCUUUUGGGAUUAGCCUUUUAAAAAUAGAGCAUUCCAACCCUUACAGGUCAAAAGCCCUGGAUUUCAAGAAUCUGUCUCUGCUAUGAGUCUCAAGAGCCUAUUUUGUAACUCAGAAGCCAAGGACAACAAAUGCUACCAUACUUAUUCUGAGUCUUCCUGGUCAGAAACCAAGAAGAUAGUCAUUGCAACAAAAAUACACAGCUUUCAGACAUUCUCUUCCUGCUACUCAGAUUGUCACGGGAUACUUGGGGUGUUGCUUCACCAGCUGGAAACCUCUGUGGCUGGUGGUACCUUCUGCCUGAGUAUUGCUCAUGCCUGGUGGGCUCGCUUUGCCCACUCAUCCUGGAAGGCUGCACUCGGCUCAUGCUAUCAGCCUGGAUUCCAUACCUGCCAAGGGCAAGCCAGGCUCGGAUCAGUGAGGGGUGUGUGGGCAAGUGAGCAUGGGGUUCAGCCACAGCGCACAGGCAGGCACACUGGCUGCUGCGGCAGGGUGGGCAGCUUCAGGCACUGCAGCUGAACCAGAUGUACUACAUGCAGCUUCUGUUGUGGGCACCCAUGCCUGGACAAGGGGAAUGCAGUGGUGCCUGGAAACUUGGAGAUGCCAGGAACCACAGAGCCUCAAAGACAGUAUCAUCAUAGCCCUAACUUGGGGAGCCCCUAGGUCUGGGCUUCCCUAAGGGCGGCAACUCUUUUCUCCUUCCCGUCGCUCACAACAUGGUGAGUGGCAGGUCAUGUUUCAGCCCUGUUUGUGUUAUAGCCCUUUCAGUCCUGCCAUUCAGCAGGUCCUGAGUUCUUGUCCCACAUCCAGGAAGAAUGAGGUACAUGGACAACUGGAGGGUAAACAAGGUGGAGAGAAGCUUCAUUGAGUGACAGGACAGCUUUCAAUAGACCCAAAGUGGGUAGCUCCUUUCCGCAGGCAGGUUGCAGCCCUCAGCGGAGAGACCAAGCAUGGGUAGCUGCCAUCUGCAGGCAAGUUGUCCCAACAUCUCUGUGAGUAUGGCUGAGUGGUGGAUGGGGCGGAAUGGAGAGAGAGUCCUUUAUGGGCUUCAGAAGGAAGGAAGUGCAUUGUGCAUGCUGAUUAGUCCAUGGGCAGCCAUAGGCAGGCCUGGAAAAAGCACCAUAAGUUCUUACUCCAAGCCAUGGACUCCAGCCAGAACUGACAGCCCAGACCCCAUACUUUAGGUCAUCUCUGGCUUGAAGGUGGGGCUUCACUGUGCACCCACCCUUUUCUAUGCAGAAGUCUGUCUUCCUCCUGCUGCUAUCAUAUUGUCCAUAGUGCCCACGCUGCUCAUGCUGAGGAGUGCCUGCAGGCCCGACAAGCUGCCGUCAACCCUGCCUCAGCCUCCCUCCCAUGCUGAUCAGUGCAUAAAGUCCAAGGGGGCCAAGGGCCAGGGUUUGGCAUGUCAGCGUCACCCCAAACAUGCGCACCCACAGGCAGGUCAGAAGAGCACCCGGGCUUGCCCUCAACUUUGCUCUGAAAUCAGAGUGGGCACCAGGCACAGGGAGAAGCCAGGCAGUGGGAGUAGGCACUUCUGAGCCCGCGAGGCUGAGGGGGCUCAGAGGUCCCCAGGAGCACAGGGUGCCCACGUCCGCAGCUGUGGCUGGGUAGCUGCAGCAGUGCCUCGGAGGGCAGGGCUCCCACCCUGCCAAUUCAGAAGGGGGCAGGGCUCCCCCUGUUCCCAGCCCUAGCUGCACCUCCCCAACUUCAGCCCAUGUCUUCACAGCAGCCACUCCCAACGGGCUGCCACUGCCAACAAGAUGACCUAUUUUGCCAAUAUUCAUCAACUAGAACAUAUUUCACACCACAGUGUUGAUAAAGGAAUAUGCCAAUAAGAUGGAUGCUUUCAUUUAUGAUGAAAAUAAUUAUUACAGAGAAGAGUCUGUAUAAUGGCAGCUAUAACAACUGGAUCUACUUGACAAGGUGGAUGUAACAUUUCAAACUAUUGAAAAGGAUGCUUUGAAUUAAUAUAAAAUAAAGAAUGGGGCUGGAAAUAACCCAUCUACCAUUUUACUGAAUGAAAAAAUCAUUACUAUUCUGUAUAUACUGUGAAGCUAGUAAAUUGAGACAUAAAAUAUUUUUUGUGAAUUAAAAAAUAAGUCAAAUC
ensembl:lncRNA novel transcript